CUGUGAUAGGCCAACAGACGCGUUGGAACUACGUCAUCACGGUAUAAGAACAGCUGUUUACGUACUUCCUGCCAGUUCUCUGUUAUACCCUGCGCGGAGAUACAGUGAACCCGUAUAUACGAACAUUGCAUUUACCAUUUAUCGCUUGAGUUUAAUUAAAAUACUUAAAAUAUAUUCGGUGACUCUGAAUCACAUUUUGUCCUGAUACCAGAUUUGAACUGACGCAAAUCAUUUUCAAUAGCGCCAGGCUGUAUGAAUUGGCUCCAAAAUAAUCCCUUGGUAAGCUACCAUCGGCUGUCCAAGGAACCACAAUUUUUGAAGAAGUGGCUCCAUGUCCCGAAGAGGAAGGACAUGCCAGCUUGAGCUAGUAGGAUGUGCAGACAGCACUUCGUGGAGUCAGACUUCGCGAUGAAGGGCACUUUCUAUGCGGCAACUGGGAGUUUCUGAAUGGAAAGGAGUCAUAGGCCUACCCUGAAGCCCUCUGCUUGCGCCUCCAUUUGACAUUAAGAGGGUUAUGGUGUAGUAGUUACCGACCGAUCAACAUCGCUGACUUUGGAGUCAAGCAAAAGCAACGGAACAGAGGAGGUGACGCGAGUCAAUGCAAUGCCAGGAGCCUGAGGAAAGAAUGGUUAGUACAGCAUGCCAAACUGACCCCUGUGUGCCAGAGUGUUCCUGUGCUGCGGUAGAGAAGAGGUCCACUGGGACCAGCACUAAAGAACUUGGGGCCCAGCUAGAUUGCGCUCACGACCAUCAGUAUACAACCGAGUCUGUAUACUGAUACUGAGUCCCCUAUACGCCACAGAUGGAGCUGACGGAGAGCGAGAUCAGUGAAGACCAAAACUCGCUGUAUGAACCUGAGAGCUCAGAAUCACAAUCAUCACAGAGCGAGCCAAGAUAUACUAUCAAUCACUUUGGGGGAGCGGGAUGGUGUUCUGAAAAUGGAGAAGGAGCAGGCCAUUCAACAGCCAAUUCAAAGAUACACCCAUCCAUAAAGGGAAUCGGAGUGGAAUUGUUUUUCCACAGAUUUUUUUUUACCCGUUUCAAUGGAUGUGCUACCUUGUCCCGGCCCUGCUGUUUCGACUCUCUCAACCUAUGAAUGCUCAGCUAUGAAAAGCCAACUGACAUUUGGUCCUGAGGUGUUGAACUGUUGCACCCUCUAUAAUCACUGUGGUUAUUAUUUUUGAUGCUAAAAGGGCUUUUGUAAAAUACAUUUGAAUGAUUGUCUGCUGUACUGGAUGCUGUGUAUUCACUAACUGUCUGAGUGAUGUGACAUUUAUAGUAUCUGUAACACAUUUUGGUGUGUAUUUAAUCUGCAUCUUAUUUUCUUAAAGUGGGAAUCAUCAGUAGAAACAAUAAAUCUCCCUGCUCCUUACUCGGUAAAAAGCUGAGGGAUGGGCCUGGAGAAAUGUAACCACUCUCAAAUUCAUAGACAGAGCUAUAGAUGCAAGGACUGACCGUCCAUGAUUUCAAAAUUGUAAUCCUGUUUCUGAUCUGUUUCCACCUCCAUGUACCCUGUUCGGUUUGGAUAAAGGCGCCUGCUAAAUGGCAUAUAUUAUUAAAGUCUCCUUUAACUCUGCCAACUAGUUGCCCAGUGUAGUUAACAUUCCUUUCCAAUAGAUGGCAGUCAAAGCUAGUUGAAGUCACUCUAGCGGCAAUGACAGGGAUUACUACGCACUGAAAGUAGUAAUCCCGAAAGUAGUCAUUUAUUUUUAAAGCAAGUUUAUCUGGUUACGCUUGAUCCUGUUGUUUAUAUUGGACAAGCUAACUAAUACUAUUUUUACAUAUGGAAGAAACGACACACGCUGGAAUGAAACGCCGUACACCUCGUCCAAUUCUCCCUUUUGCCCAUAGGGUGAACUGGAAAAAUCAUAAGAAAAGUUAGUCUGAUACCGAAACUAAAUCACAUAAUGAGCACGCCCCAUUAUUGGUUAGAAUGAGAUGUCAUGAAUCAUGAUGUCUGCGAUUCCAACCGGUCGUCUAAUCUAAAGGUAAAUGUGUUACCAUAGCGCCAAACAGCGCUGGUGAUAAACAUCUUUAUAGGGUACUGAUUAUGUAUAUUGAGCACCGACCCACUACAGAUAUUAACCUUAAACAAUUUAUAAUCAAGCUAAAUGUCACCAAUUAUUUAACUGGCAUAUCGGCUGCUGACUGGUCGAGAAACCUCUUCUGCCAGUAAGUACUUCAUAACGAUUAGUGACACGUCCAAUAAAUACAUCGCCAGACAUACAGGAACCUCUGACUGGAUGUAAUACAUCACCAUCCAGACAGACUGACAGGAACCUCUGACUGGAUGUAAUACAUCACCAUCCAGACAGACUGACAGGAACCUCUGACUGGAGGUAAUACAGCCACCAUCCAGACAGACUGACAGGAACCUCUGACUGGAGGUAAUACAUCACCAUCCGGACAGACUGACAGGAACCUCUGACUGGAUGUAAUACAUCACCAUCCAGACAGACUGACAGGAACCUCUGACUGGAUGUAAUACAUCACCAUCCAGACAGACUGACGGGAACCUCUGACUGGAUGUAAUACAGCCACCAUCCAGACAGACUGACAGGAACCUCUGACUGGAUGUAAUACAUCACCAUCCAGACAGACUGACAGGAACCUCUGACUGGGUGUAAUACAUCACCAUCCAGACAGACUGACAGGAACCUCUGACUGGAGGUAAUACAGCCACCAUCCGCUGGGAUUUUGUGCUGUAUCGCAACCAAUUCAAGGGGCUUUAUUGGCAUGGGAAACGUGUUAACAUUGCCAAAAGCAAGUGAGGUAGAUAAUAUACAAAAGUGAAAUAAAAAAUAAAAAUGAACAGUAAACAUUACACAUACAGAAGUUUCAAAACAAAGACAUUACAAAUGUCAUUAUGUAUAUUUACAGUGUUGUAACAAUGUACAAAUGGUUAAGGUACACAAGGGAAAAUAAAUAAGCAUAAAUAUG